rnacentral:misc_RNA from 1 species
UUGUUCAUGGAAUAAAGUUGGUCAUGUUAUAGUUUCUGGGGAGUUGAAAUAAUCGGGGAUCAUUGACGGGUUGCAUUUCUGUGUUUUGUGUCGUUCAGUGAUUUCUGGUGGGACUCUCGUAGUCUUCAUUGGUCUGGUCUUGUGUCUCUUUAACAUUGACACAUUGUGCGCUUGUUGUGAUUUGUGUGGAUUUGCAUUUAUAUGCCUAAUUGCUAGCUUGAGUUUUUUU